CAUUUAGUGAACAGGGCUCUGACCCAACACUCUCUCUUACGGGAUGACAGUGGUCCACUGCAAACAUGAGGUCGAAUCAGGGUUCAGUCUCUAUCAACUUUCGAUGCCACUUUCUGUACCUACCAUGGUGACCACGGGUAACGGGGAAUCAGGGUUCAAUUCCAGAGAGGGAGCCUGAGAAACGGCUAACACAUCCAAGGAAGGCAG